GUCCACAAGGCACAACAUCCAGUAAGGUGUUCGUCACAUAGGAGACUAAGCCUAGAUUUUAACGUUGACUUCGACUAUAUCACACCUGUGUUCAGUGAGAAUUCAUUUGUGACAAGUUUCGAAGUGAACUCUGUGUGUGUGUGUGUGUGUGUGUGUGUGUGUGUGUGUGUUACAUACAACCACAAACAGGCACUUAUGAACCAACUUAAUGGUCAACUGAAUCUGUAACUUUUCACACUUCAAAGUCAGACGAAGAAUGAAGCAAACUGCUGCUGCACGCAGCACUGCUGCCUCAGGUCACUUGUGCGAGAUGUCAUCAACAUUCCGGGCACUGGUAGUGAUGUGGUUGCUCACCACAGGAUGCGUUAUGUGCCUAGCCGACAAACAAGAGCACUUGUACGUCCAGUUAUACAAGGGGAAAAUGAUCAGCGGGACUUAUGAUGCGAAAUUUAGCCUCGAUCGUCUGACAAGGUGCGCCCUCAAGUGCGCCUCCACAUACCAGUGCUGGGCGUUCACAUGGGACACAAGCACCAAAGAAUGCAGCCUCCUGCAGCCCUCUCUCACCAGGCUGGUUACCACCGCAGCGGCACCGCUCUCGCUCUCCACAUACUACGUCGACAGACGCAAUGGCAAGAGCAUCAAACUGACGAAUUCCGUAGGUUCCUGGACGCAGCAGAAAACCGCUUGCGAGAACAUGGGCGGCCGCUUGUGGCUGCCUCCGGACAUGACCUUCGCUUUGGUGCUUCUACAUGUAUUUGGGGUCAAUGGCGCCUGGUUAGGAAUGAAACGCCCCUCCACCGGAGAUAUGUAUACUUGGUAUGACCUGGAUGGAUACCUAGUUCACAUAGGUUUUCCGUGGGGCGAAGGUCAGCCCAACAAUUUUGGAGGUGACCAGUUCUAUCUUGGUUUGCUUGAUGGAAUGUUGAACGAUGCGGAGGAGACAUACAUCUUGUAUGGGCUGUGUGAAGUAUAGGCUGUUUCCCUACAUCAAUGAGUGUUGCCACUGAAUUGUAUUCUUUUGAGGUUAGAGAGAGAGAGAGAGAGAUCGUAGUUCUCCUUUCUUCUGUGUCGUCGUACAUCACUUAGGUGGUGUUUCGCUAUAGAAAAGGUUUAUGAGUAGGUUUACCAAGUUUAAUUUAGCUUUGUCUUUAAAAAAAAUCCGUGUUAUAAGUCUGUUUCUGUGUAUGUGCAGACUAAUAAGUUAUCAUAUAUUUUAUUUCAUUAUUCACUUGCUUGUGAACAAGAUGUUCAUUGUGCAAUCGCAAAGAAAUAAAUGAAAACCUUUUAUAUCUUAUACCCUGUAACAAUGUUGACAAUCACAUCUGAUUUUCAUGUUUUUGUCUCAUUUAACUGUAACAUGUCUUAUGUGCAAAGUUUUUUUUUU